rnacentral:rRNA from 1 species
GACAGAGGGUGCGAGCGUUGUCCGGAAUUACUGGGCGUAAAGAGCUCGUAGGUGGUUUGUCGCGUUGUUCGUGAAAACUCACAACUCAAUUGUGGGCGUGCGGGCGAUACGGGCAUCACUGGAGUUCGGCAGGGGAGACUGGAAUUCCUGGUGUAGCGGUGAAAUGCGCAGAUAUCAGGAGGAACACCGGUGGCGAAGGCGGGUCUCUGGGCCGAUACUGACGCUGAGGAGCGAAAGCGUGGGGAGCGAACAGG